GACGAACGCUGGCGGCGUGCCUAAUACAUGCAAGUAGAACGCACAGUGUAUGCCGUUGCUUGCCACACCACAGACUGUCAGACGCGAACGGGUCAGUAACGCGUCCGUAACCUGCCUGGUAGCGGGCGAUAACUAUCGGAAACGAUAGCUACUACCGCAUAAUAUUCAUUAUUGCAUGAUAAUUGAUGGAAAGAUCCUAUUGCAUCACUACCAGAUGGGCCUGCGUUGUAUUAGCUAGUAGGGGGGGUAACGGCACACCUAGGCGACGCUACAUAGCCGACCUGAGAGGGUGAUCGGCCACACUGGGACUGAGACACGGCCCAGACUCCUACGGGAGGCAGCAGUAGGGAAUCUUCGGCAAUGGACGAAAGUCUGACCGAGCAACGCCGCGUGAGUGAAGAAGGUUUUCGGGUCGUAAAGCUCUGUUGUACGGGAAGAAAGGGUGUGAGGGUGGAAAGGUCACACUGUGACGGUAUCUUACCAGAAAGGGACGGCUAACUACGUG
rnacentral:rRNA from 1 species